AUUGAACGCUGGCGGCAGGCCUAACACAUGCAAGUCGAACGAGUGGCGGACGGGUGAGUAAUCUCUGGAACACUGCCUGAUGGAGGGGGAUCACUAGGGGACACGAUAGCUAAUACCGUAUAAUAUCAGAUGUGCCCAUAUGGGAUUAGAUUGGUGGUGGGGUAACGGCUCACCAAGGCGACGAUCCCGAGCUGGUCUGAGAGGAUGACCAGCCACACUGGAACUGAGACACGGCCCAGACUCCUACGGGAGGCAGCAGUGGGGAAUAUUGCACAAUGGGCGCAAGCCUGAUACAGCCAUGCCGCGUGUAUGAAGAAGGCCUUCGGGUUGUAAAGUACUUUCAGCGGGGAGGCGUUACCCGCAGAAGAAGCACCGGCUAACUCCGUGCCAGCAGCCGCGGUAAUUC
rnacentral:rRNA from 1 species